rnacentral:rRNA from 1 species
UACGGAGGGGGUUAGCGUUGUUCGGAAUUACUGGGCGUAAAGCGCACGUAGGCGGAUCGGAAAGUUGGGGGUGAAAUCCCGGGGCUCAACCCCGGAACUGCCUCCAAAACUAUCGGUCUAGAGUUCGAGAGAGGUGAGUGGAAUUCCGAGUGUAGAGGUGAAAUUCGUAGAUAUUCGGAGGAACACCAGUGGCGAAGGCGGCUCACUGGCUCGAUACUGACGCUGAGGUGCGAAAGUGUGGGGAGCAAACAGG